rnacentral:rRNA from 1 species
AUGAGCGCGGGUCAGUUCAGCAUCAUCAACCCUGCAACUCGUCAGUGUGCUCGCCUGCCUGUUACCGACACUCACCGACCCGUGGGGAUGUAUCCUCAUAGCCUAAGCGGCGAGUAUCGGAUACUGCUGGCACCCCAUGAUCCAGAUGACUCCUAUCAGGUCUACACACUAGGCUCCAGCCAACCGCCAAGGCACAUAGACAUAGAUGGCCUUGUUGUGGAGGAAGUGUCGCCCUUCACACUUCUCCUGUUCCAUCACAGCCUGCAUUGGUGCGCAGACAACGUGAUAACUGUAUUCGACACCACCACUGAGUCAUUUGGGGAGAUGCUCGCUCCGCACGGCGCCGACCAGUUUGUGAUGGAUGAAAUUUAUGGUGGUGCCCUGUUUGAGGUGGAUGGAAUGCUGGGCAUGUCCUGUCUUAAUACUGAAUUUACCAGCAUUGGUAUCUGGGCUAUGCAGAACAAUGAAAGCAGGGUCUGGGCAUUCAAAUACCGGGUUGAAUUGCCAGUUGCCGAGCUCACCAUGCAGUUUGGAAAGUUUAAACCAUAUUGUUUUGGGGUGCCCUCUUCUUGGGAUGGUGAUGUGAGCAUGCUGCUCCAGUUUGGUGACUGGCUACUUCAGCUUGACAUGGAUGGCAAGGUGGUUGCUAGUUUACGCCGUCACAAAGGCCUCUUGCCUACUCAACAUCGGCUCAAGCAAACUCUUGUUCAGCAUUCCUUCUUUCCGACACUAGAGGGUUAUGUUGUCAAUGCUUCACCCUUCAUAUAA